CCAGACUCCUACGGGAGGCAGCAGUGGGGAAUAUUGCACAAUGGGCGGAAGCCUGAUGCGGCAACGCCGCGUGCGGGAUGACGGCCUUCGGGUUGUAAACCGCUUUCGCCUGUGACGAAGCGUGAGUGACGGUAAUGGGUAAAGAAGCACCGGCUAACUACGUGCCAGCAGCCGCGGUGAUACGUAGGGUGCGAGCGUUGUCCGGAUUUAUUGGGCGUAAAGGGCUCGUAGGUGGUUGAUCGCGUCGGAAGUGUAAUCUUGGGGCUUAACCCUGAGCGUGCUUUCGAUACGGGUUGACUUGAGGAAGGUAGGGGAGAAUGGAAUUCCUGGUGGAGCGGUGGAAUGCGCAGAUAUCAGGAGGAACACCAGUGGCGAAGGCGGUUCUCUGGGCCUUUCCUGACGCUGAGGAGCGAAAGCGUGGGGAGCGAACAGGCUUAGAUACCCUGGUAGUCCACGCUGUAAACGGUGGGUACUAGGUGUGGGGUCCAUUCCACGGGUUCCGUGCCGUAGCUAACGCUUUAAGUACCCCGCCUGGGGAGUACGGCCGCAAGGCUAAAACUCAAAGGAAUUGAGGGGGCCCGCACAAG
rnacentral:rRNA from 1 species